CAGCCGCCGCGGUAAUACGUAGGUGGCAAGCGUUGUCCGGAAUUAUUGGGCGUAAAGGGCUCGCGGGCGGUUUCUUAAGUCUGAUGUAAAAGCCCCCGGCUCAACCGGGGAGGGUCAUUGGAAACUGGGAAACUUGAGUGCAGAAGAGGAGAGUGGAAUUCCACGUGUAGCGGUGAAAUGCGUAGAGAUGUGGAGGAACACCAGUGGCGAAGGCGACUCUCUGGUCUGUAACUGACGCUGAGGAGCGAAAGCGUGGGGAGCGAACAGGAUUAGAUACCCCAGUAGUCCCUGUCUCUUAUAC
rnacentral:rRNA from 1 species